rnacentral:rRNA from 1 species
GGUUGCGAUCAUACCAGCACUAAUGCACCGGAUCCCAUCAGAACUCCGCAGUUAAGCGUGCUUGGGCGAGAGUAAUACUAGGAUGGGUGACCCCCUGGGAAGUCCUCGUGUUGCAACCCC